GUGGUGCGCCUGUCAAAUGCGGAACGUACCCUUUGAUUAUGACCCGUGUAUAUAGCAAAAUCCUAAAUACACCGUUUGGUGGUGCGCCUGUCAAAUGCGGAACGUACAGAUAAGGUAAUAGGUAACAGGGGAAUAUAUUAUUGGUAUCGGUAUCGGAUUCGACCAGGAACUUGUUAAUUAUUGGCAAUAUUAAUUAUGUGGAAAACAAAAGGGUCUGGAGUGGUGUAAUUUUUAAUCUACACCAUUGUUCUAUAUUAGCUAUAUAUAGAGUUGAAUUCUUUGAUUUGUCGUUUUUACCCGAUGACGGCUGACAAAUUGGACCUCGUAAUUUUAGUAUUAUAGAUAAUA
rnacentral:lncRNA from 1 species